rnacentral:rRNA from 2 species
CAAGUCGAACGGUAACAGGAAAAGCUUGCUCUUCGCUGACGAGUGGCGAACGGGUGCGUAACACGUAUGCAACCUACCUUUAACUGAGGGAUAGCCCAAAGAAAUUUGGAUUAAUACCUCAUAAUAUUACGAGAUCACAUGGUCAUGUAAUUAAAACUCCGGUGGUUAAAGAUGGGCAUGCGCAACAUUAGCUAGUUGGUAAGGUAAUGGCUUACCAAGGCGACGAUGUUUAGGGGGUCUUAAAGGAUGGUCCCCCACACUGGUACUGAGACACGGACCAGACUCC